rnacentral:snoRNA from 1 species
UGUCUCCUCCCUAGGUGGUGGUGCAGGGCAAAGCUCCCCUUGCAGCCAAUAGGAGAGACAGAGCACCAGCCAGAGGAUAGUCGUCGUGGUUGCCAGGAGCUGUUGGCUGCCAUGUUUUCCUGCCUCUGACACUG